rnacentral:rRNA from 1 species
ACGAACGCUGGCGGCGUGGAUAAGACAUGCAAGUCGAACGGGAGAAUUGCUAGCUUGCUAAUAAUUCUCUAGUGGCGCACGGGUGAGUAACACGUGAGUAACCUGCCUCUUAGUGGGGGAUAGCCCUGGGAAACCGGGAUUAAUACCGCAUACGAUUGAAAGAUCAAAGCAGCAAUGCGCUAGGAGAUGGGCUCGCGGCCUAUUAGUUAGUUGGUGAGGUAACGGCUCACCAAGGCGAUGACGGGUAGCCGGUCUGAGAGGAUGUCCGGCCACACUGGAACUGAGACACGGUCCAGACACCUACGGGUGGCAGCAGUCGAGAAUCAUUCACAAUGGGGGCAACCCUGAUGGUGCGACGCCGCGUGGGGGAAUGAAGGUCUUCGGAUUGUAAACCCCUGUCAUGUGGGAGCAAAUUAAAAAGAUAGUACCACAAGAGGAAGAGACGGCUAACUCUGUGCCAGCAGCCGCGGUAAUACAGAGGUCUCAAGCGUUGUUCGGAAUCACUGGGCGUAAAGCGUGCGUAGGCUGUUUCGUAAGUCGUGUGUGAAAGGCAGGGGCUCAACCCCUGGAUUGCACAUGAUACUGCGAGACUAGAGUAAUGGAGGGGGAACCGGAAUUCUCGGUGUAGCAGUGAAAUGCGUAGAUAUCGAGAGGAACACUCGUGGCGAAGGCGGGUUCCUGGACAUUAACUGACGCUGAGGCACGAAGGCCAGGGGAGCGAAAGGGAUUAGAUACCCCUGUAGUCCUGGCAGUAAACGGUGCACGCUUGGUGUGCGGGGAAUCGACCCCCUGCGUGCCGGAGCUAACGCGUUAAGCGUGCCGCCUGGGGAGUACGGUCGCAAGAUUAAAACUCAAAGAAAUUGACGGGGACCCGCACAAGCGGUGGAGUAUGUGGCUUAAUUCGAUGCAACGCGAAGAACCUUACCUGGGCUUGACAUGUAAUGAACAACAUGUGAAAGCAUGCGACUCUUCGGAGGCGUUACACAGGUGCUGCAUGGCCGUCGUCAGCUCGUGUCGUGAGAUGUUUGGUUAAGUCCAGCAACGAGCGCAACCCCUGUUGCCAGUUACCAGCACGUCAAGGUGGGGACUCUGGCGAGACUGCCCAGAUCAACUGGGAGGAAGGUGGGGACGACGUCAGGUCAGUAUGGCCCUUAUGCCCAGGGCUGCACACGUACUACAAUGCCCAGUACAGAGGGGGCCGAAGCCGCGAGGCGGAGGAAAUCCUGAAAACUGGGCCCAGUUCGGACUGUAGGCUGCAACCCGCCUACACGAAGCCGGAAUCGCUAGUAAUGGCGCAUCAGCUACGGCGCCGUGAAUACGUUCCCGGGUCUUGUACACACCGCCCGUCACAUCAUGGAAGCCGGUCGCACCCGAAGUAUCUGAGGCCAACCGCAAGGAGGCAGGGUCCUAAGGUGAGACUGGUAACUGGGAUG